rnacentral:siRNA from 1 species
AAAGAUGAUGUGUAUACAUAACUG